AAACUUUAUUUGAUACGUAUUUGGGAUUAUNAUAGUUUUGCUCUUUGAGCUAUAGUAAUAAAUUGGCGUCAAAAUAAACUUAUCGGACCCGGGGGCGGUACCCGGCGCCUCCACCAAUAAAAAUUAUGGGGGGCGAAACAGGAUCGACGAGAGCGUAAAAGGCUACCCUUUACUCGGCAUUGUACCACCGUUAUCGGGCAAAUUUUAUAGUUGCAAAUGACAACUAUGCUCCGGUCGCAGUAGCUGCAUAGUCAGCUUGAGCACCGAAACUUAAGCCCUUAUCUCUAGCAAGAUAAGGCGGGGUUUGGGGGCACCUGGCAACAGAACGNCCCUUUA
rnacentral:tmRNA from 1 species